AUGUACAAUGCAAUUUUGGUAGUCAUUUUCCAUUUCAGUUGGAAAAUGCAGUCGGAUGUUUGGGGUACUAUAAGUGAUCAAGGGGUGGUAACUCAUAUUACAGGGGAAACUUUGCACAGAGUUCCAUUACGAUUAAUGGGUGGCUUCGAGAUUUCUUGUGGGCACAGGCAUCGCAAGUCAUUCAGUCUUAUGGUUCUUCAUUAUCUGCAUAUGGUCUUUUUUUUAGGUGCUCAUUUUGUCUGGGCCUUCAGUUUAAUGUUUUUAUUCAGCGGCCAUGGUUAUUGGCAAGAACUCAUUGAAUCUAUCGUUUGGGCUCAUAACAAAUUAAAAGUUGCUCCUGCUACUCAGCCUAGAGCCUUGAGCAUUAUACAAGGACGCGCUGUAGGAGUAACCCAUUACCUUCUGGGUGGAAUUGCCAUGACAUGGGCAUUCUUCUUAGCGAGAAUUAUUGCAGUAGGAUAG
rnacentral:rRNA from 1 species